GCGUAGGAACCUGCCCCAAAGUGAGGGAUAAGCACCGGAAACGGUGUCUAAUACCGCAUAUGAUCUUCGGAUUAAAGCUUUAUGCGCUUUGGGAGGGGCCUGCGUCCUAUUAGAUAGUUGGUGAGGUAAAGGCUCACCAAGUCAACGAUGGGUAGCUGGUCUGAGAGGAUGACCAGCCAGACUGGAACUGAGACACGGUCCAGACUCCUACGGGAGGCAGCAGUAAGGAAUCUUCCACAAUGGGCGAAAGCCUGAUGGAGCAACGCCGCGUGCAGGAUGAAGGCCUUCGGGUCGUAAACU
rnacentral:rRNA from 1 species